rnacentral:rRNA from 1 species
AGAUUAAGUUAUUAAGGGCGCACGGUGGAUGCCUUGGCACUAGAAGCCGACGAAGGACGUUACUAACGACGAUAUGCUUUGGGUAGCUGUAAGUAAGCGUUGAUCCAGAGAUUUCCGAAUGGGGGAACCCAGCACGAGUUAUGUCGUGUUAUCGACAAGUGAAUUCAUAGCUUGUCAGAAGGCAGACCCGGAGAACUGAAACAUCUUAGUACCCGGAGGAAGAGAAAGAAAAAUCGAUUCCCUGAGUAGCGGCGAGCGAAACGGGAAGAGCCCAAACCAAUAAGCUUGCUUAUUGGGGUUGUAGGACACUCUAUACGGAGUUACAAAGGAAUAUAUUAGACGAAUCAUCUGGAAAGUUGAAUCAAAGAAGGUAAUAAUCCUGUAGUUGAAAAUAUAUUCUCUCUUGAGUGGAUCCUGAGUACGACGGAGCACGUGAAAUUCCGUCGGAAUCUGGGAGGACCAUCUCCUAAGGCUAAAUACUCUCUAGUGACCGAUAGUGAACCAGUACCGUGAGGGAAAGGUGAAAAGUACCCCGGAAGGGGAGUGAAAGAGAACUUGAAACCGUGUGCUUACAAGUAGUCAGAGCCCGUUAAUGGGUGAUGGCGUGCCUUUUGUAGAAUGAACCGGCGAGUUACGAUCUGAUGCAAGGUUAAGCAGGAGAUGUGGAGCCGUAGCGAAAGCGAGUCUGAAUAGGGCGUUGAGUAUUUGGUCGUAGACCCGAAACCAGGUGAUCUACCCAUGGUCAGGUUGAAGUUCAGGUAACACUGAAUGGAGGACCGAACCGACUUACGUUGAAAAGUGAGCGGAUGAACUGUGGGUAGCGGAGAAAUUCCAAUCGAACUUGGAGAUAGCUGGUUCUCUCCGAAAUAGCUUUAGGGCUAGCCUCAAGUGAUGAUUAUUGGAGGUAGAGCACUGUUUGGACGAGGGGCCCCUCUCGGGUUACCGAAUUCAGACAAACUCCGAAUGCCAAUUAAUUUAACUUGGGAGUCAGAACAUGGGUGAUAAGGUCCGUGUUCGAAAGGGAAACAGCCCAGACCACCAGCUAAGGUCCCAAAAUAUAUGUUAAGUGGAAAAGGAUGUGGCGUUGCCCAGACAACUAGGAUGUUGGCUUAGAAGCAGCCAUCAUUUAAAGAGUGCGUAAUAGCUCACUAGUCGAGUGACACUGCGCCGAAAAUGUACCGGGGCUAAACAUAUUACCGAAGCUGUGGAUUGUCCGUAGGACAAUGGUAGGAGAGCGUUCUAAGGGCGUUGAAGCAUGAUCGCAAGGACAUGUGGAGCGCUUAGAAGUGAGAAUGCCGGUGUGAGUAGCGAAAGACGGGUGAGAAUCCCGUCCACCGAUUGACUAAGGUUUCCAGAGGAAGGCUCGUCCGCUCUGGGUUAGUCGGGUCCUAAGCUGAGGCCGACAGGCGUAGGCGAUGGAUAACAGGUUGAUAUUCCUGUACCACCUAGCAUCGUUUUAAUCGAUGGGGGGACGCAGUAGGAUAGGCGAAGCGUACGAUUGGAUUGUACGUCCAAGCAGUGAGAUUGAGUGUUAGGCAAAUCCGGCACUCUUAAGAUUGAGCUGUGAUGGGGAGAGGAAAUUGUUUCCUCGAGUCGUUGAUUUCACACUGCCGAGAAAAGCCUCUAGAUAGAUAAUAGGUGCCCGUACCGCAAACCGACACAGGUAGUCAAGAUGAGAAUUCUAAGGUGAGCGAGCGAACUCUCGUUAAGGAACUCGGCAAAAUGACCCCGUAACUUCGGGAGAAGGGGUGCUCUUUAGGGUGCAAGCCCAGAAGAGCCGCAGUGAAUAGGCCCAAGCGACUGUUUAUCAAAAACACAGGUCUCUGCUAAACCGUAAGGUGAUGUAUAGGGGCUGACGCCUGCCCGGUGCUGGAAGGUUAAGAGGAGUGGUUAGCUUCUGCGAAGCUACGAAUCGAAGCCCCAGUAAACGGCGGCCGUAACUAUAACGGUCCUAAGGUAGCGAAAUUCCUUGUCGGGUAAGUUCCGACCCGCACGAAAGGCGUAACGAUUUGGGCACUGUCUCAACGAGAGACUCGGUGAAAUCAUAGUACCUGUGAAGAUGCAGGUUACCCGCGACAGGACGGAAAGACCCCGUGGAGCUUUACUGUAGCCUGAUAUUGAAAUUCGGCACAGCUUGUACAGGAUAGGUAGGAGCCUUUGAAACGUGAGCGCUAGCUUACGUGGAGGCGCUGGUGGGAUACUACCCUAGCUGUGUUGGCUUUCUAACCCGCACCACUUAUCGUGGUGGGAGACAGUGUCAGGCGGGCAGUUUGACUGGGGCGGUCGCCUCCUAAAAGGUAACGGAGGCGCUCAAAGGUUCCCUCAGAAUGGUUGGAAAUCAUUCAUAGAGUGUAAAGGCAUAAGGGAGCUUGACUGCGAGACCUACAAGUCGAGCAGGGUCGAAAGACGGACUUAGUGAUCCGGUGGUUCCGCAUGGAAGGGCCAUCGCUCAACGGAUAAAAGCUACCCCGGGGAUAACAGGCUUAUCUCCCCCAAGAGUUCACAUCGACGGGGAGGUUUGGCACCUCGAUGUCGGCUCAUCGCAUCCUGGGGCUGUAGUCGGUCCCAAGGGUUGGGCUGUUCGCCCAUUAAAGCGGUACGCGAGCUGGGUUCAGAACGUCGUGAGACAGUUCGGUCCCUAUCCGUCGUGGGCGUAGGAAAUUUGAGAGGAGCUGUCCUUAGUACGAGAGGACCGGGAUGGACAUACCUCUGGUGUACCAGUUGUCGUGCCAACGGCAUAGCUGGGUAGCUAUGUAUGGACGGGAUAAGUGCUGAAAGCAUCUAAGCAUGAAGCCCCCCUCAAGAUGAGAUUUCCCAACUUCGGUUAUAAGAUCCCUCAAAGAUGAUGAGGUUAAUAGGUUCGAGGUGGAAGCGUGGUGACACGUGGAGCUGACGAAUACUAAUCGAUCGAAGACUUAAUCAAUUU